UUAAGCGACUAAGCGUACACGGUGGAUGCCCUGGCAGUCAGAGGCGAUGAAGGACGUGCUAAUCUGCGAAAAGCGUCGGUAAGGUGAUAUGAACCGUUAUAACCGGCGAUGUCCGAAUGGGGAAACCCAGUGCAAUUCGUUGCACUAUCGUUAACUGAAUACAUAGGUUAACGAGGCGAACCGGGGGAACUGAAACAUCUAAGUACCCCGAGGAAAAGAAAUCAACCGAGAUUCCCCCAGUAGCGGCGAGCGAACGGGGAGCAGCCCGGAGUCUGAAUCAGCUUGUGUGUUAGUGGAAGCGUCUGGAAAGUCGCAGGGUACAGGGUGAUACUCCCGUACACUAAAACACACAGGCUGUGAACUCGAAGAGUAGGGCGGGACACGUGGUAUCCUGUCUGAAUAUGGGGGGACCAUCCUCCAAGGCUAAAUACUCCUGACUGACCGAUAGUGAACCAGUACCGUGAGGGAAAGGCGAAAAGAACCCCGGCGAGGGGAGUGAAAAAGAACCUGAAACCGUGUACGUACAAGCAGUAGGAGCCCACUAGUUGGGUGACUGCGUACCUUUUGUAUAAUGGGUCAGCGACUUAUAUUCUGUAGCAAGGUUAACCGAAUAGGGGAGCCGCAGGGAAACCGAGUCUUAACUGGGCGUUAAGUUGCAGGGUAUAGACCCGAAACCCGGUGAUCUAGCCAUGGGCAGGUUGAAGGUUGGGUAACACUAACUGGAGGACCGAACCGACUAAUGUUGAAAAAUUAGCGGAUGACUUGUGGCUGGGGGUGAAAGGCCAAUCAAACCGGGAGAUAGCUGGUUCUCCCCGAAAGCUAUUUAGGUAGCGCCUCGUGAACUCAUCUUCGGGGGUAGAGCACUGUUUCGGCUAGGGGGUCAUCCCGACUUACCAACCCGAUGCAAACUACGAAUACCGAAGAAUGUUAUCACGGGAGACACACGGCGGGUGCUAACGUCCGUCGUGAAGAGGGAAACAACCCAGACCGCCAGCUAAGGUCCCAAAGUCAUGGUUAAGUGGGAAACGAUGUGGGAAGGCCCAGACAGCCAGGAUGUUGGCUUAGAAGCAGCCAUCAUUUAAAGAAAGCGUAAUAGCUCACUGGUCGAGUCGGCCUGCGCGGAAGAUGUAACGGGGCUAAACCAUGCACCGAAGCUGCGGCAGCGACGCUUAUGCGUUGUUGGGUAGGGGAGCGUUCUGUAAGCCGUUGAAGGUGGCCUGUGAGGGUUGCUGGAGGUAUCAGAAGUGCGAAUGCUGACAUAAGUAACGAUAAUGCGGGUGAAAAACCCGCACGCCGGAAGACCAAGGGUUCCUGUCCAACGUUAAUCGGGGCAGGGUGAGUCGACCCCUAAGGCGAGGCCGAAAGGCGUAGUCGAUGGGAAACAGGUUAAUAUUCCUGUACUUGGUGUUACUGCGAAGGGGGGACGGAGAAGGCUAUGUUGGCCGGGCGACGGUUGUCCCGGUUUAAGCAUGUAGGCGGAUGUUCCAGGUAAAUCCGGAACGUUAUUAACGCUGAGGUGUGAUGACGAGGCACUACGGUGCUGAAGUGACAAAUGCCCUGCUUCCAGGAAAAGCCUCUAAGCAUCAGGUAACAUCAAAUCGUACCCCAAACCGACACAGGUGGUCAGGUAGAGAAUACCAAGGCGCUUGAGAGAACUCGGGUGAAGGAACUAGGCAAAAUGGUGCCGUAACUUCGGGAGAAGGCACGCUGAUGGUAAGUGAAGUGACUUGCUCAUGGAGCUGAAAUCAGUCGAAGAUACCAGCUGGCUGCAACUGUUUAUUAAAAACACAGCACUGUGCAAACACGAAAGUGGACGUAUACGGUGUGACGCCUGCCCGGUGCCGGAAGGUUAAUUGAUGGGGUUAUCCUCACGGAGAAGCUCUUGAUCGAAGCCCCGGUAAACGGCGGCCGUAACUAUAACGGUCCUAAGGUAGCGAAAUUCCUUGUCGGGUAAGUUCCGACCUGCACGAAUGGCGUAAUGAUGGCCAGGCUGUCUCCACCCGAGACUCAGUGAAAUUGAACUCGCUGUGAAGAUGCAGUGUACCCGCGGCAAGACGGAAAGACCCCGUGAACCUUUACUAUAGCUUGACACUGAACACUGGUCCUUGAUGUGUAGGAUAGGUGGGAGGCUUUGAAGUGUGGACGCCAGUCUGCAUGGAGCCGUCCUUGAAAUACCACCCUUUAAUGGCUGGUGUUCUAACGUGGGCCCGUGAUCCGGGUUGCGGACAGUGUCUGGUGGGUAGUUUGACUGGGGCGGUCUCCUCCUAAAGAGUAACGGAGGAGCACGAAGGUCAGCUAAUCCUGGUCGGACAUCAGGAGGUUAGUGCAAUGGCAUAAGCUGGCUUGACUGCGAGCGUGACGGCGCGAGCAGGUGCGAAAGCAGGUCAUAGUGAUCCGGUGGUUCUGAAUGGAAGGGCCAUCGCUCAACGGAUAAAAGGUACUCCGGGGAUAACAGGCUGAUACCGCCCAAGAGUUCAUAUCGACGGCGGUGUUUGGCACCUCGAUGUCGGCUCAUCACAUCCUGGGGCUGAAGUAGGUCCCAAGGGUAUGGCUGUUCGCCAUUUAAAGUGGUACGCGAGCUGGGUUUAGAACGUCGUGAGACAGUUCGGUCCCUAUCUGCCGUGGGCGCUGGAGAAUUGAGGGGGGCUGCUCCUAGUACGAGAGGACCGGAGUGGACGCAUCACUGGUGUUCGGGUUGUCAUGCCAAUGGCAUUGCCCGGUAGCUAAAUGCGGAAGAGAUAAGUGCUGAAAGCAUCUAAGCACGAAACUUGCCCCGAGAUGAGUUCUCCCUGACCCUUUAAGGGUCCUGAAGGAACGUUGAAGACGACGACGUUGAUAGGCCGGGUGUGUAAGCGCAGCGAUGCGUUGAGCUAACCGGUACUAAUGAACCGUGAGGCUUAACCUU
rnacentral:rRNA from 1 species